rnacentral:misc_RNA from 1 species
AAGUCGUAACAAGGUCUCCGUAGGUGAACCUGCGGAGGGAUCAUUACACAAUACAAUAUGAAGGCUGUCCGCAGCUGGAGUAUUUUAUUACCCUUGUCUUUUGCGCACUUGUUGUUUCCUGGGCGGGUUCGCUCGCCACCAGGACCACCAAAUAAACCUUUUUUAUGCAGUUGCAAUCAGCGUCAGUACAAACAAUGUAAAUCAUUUACAACUUUCAACAACGGAUCUCUUGGUUCUG